AGCAGUGUGGCUCGAUGGAAAGAGCCUGGCCUUGGGAGUCAGAGGUCAUGGGUUCUAAUCCCGGCUCUGCUG
rnacentral:tRNA from 1 species